rnacentral:lncRNA from 1 species
GUGUCUCGUCCAGUCCGUAAGGUGUGCCCAGUCCAGGCAAGCACACGAUGGGGGCACAGGAGUCUCUGUCCCAGACUGGUAUUGUACUUAGGGGGCUUCUCAUUGAGGCAAUGACGGCCCAAGGUCGUGGCCACUGAAGCGCGUCCCUGGACGCACCCCUCCCCACUGGGUCCAGGCAGGCGUAUCUCUCCCCCGCCCGCCUGCGGCUUCCACGGAGAACUGGGUUCCGCGCCAGCCCCGGCUCAAGGAGCGCCCGGGCCACUGCCCCGCGGAGAGCGGCUGAAGUCAGGGUUACAACUCACCUUGGAACUGGGGCGCCAGACCUCCCCUAGGCAGGGCGUUCUCCCCCCCACCCGAUGACAUCAUCUGUUUGGGGCUGAGUCGCUCCAUAAAAUCAGCCCUCGGGAAGCCAGGAGCCCAAAGAACAGAGGUGCUGGCCGUGACGCCCGGCUGCGCGCACAAGGUCCGGGUGAGCGCCCCGCCAGCCCCAGCGCCCGAGCCAGAGGGCGAGGAGGAGCUCAGCCGCCCGCAGCCCGCGCUCUCCGCCCGCGCCGGGAGCCGCCCGAAGAUGCCUCUCCGCAGCCUGCACGCGGCGGCCGUGCUCCUGCUCGUGGUCUUAAAGGAACAGCCUUCCAGCCCAGCCCCGCUCAAUGGAUCCAAGUGGACCUAUAUAGGUCCUGACGGGGAGAAGAGCUGGUCCAAGACCUACCCUUCCUGUGGGGGCCUGCUGCAGUCCCCGAUAGACCUGCACAAUGACAUCCUGCGGUACAACGCCAGCCUCGGGCCCCUGGCCUUCCAAGGGUACAACCAGUCUGCCAGUCCGCAAUUUGUCCUCACCAACAAUGGCCACUCAGUGAAGGUGAAACUGCCCAAGGACAUGCAGGUCCGGGGCCUCGGGGCCCGCUACAAUGCCUCACAGCUGCACCUGCACUGGGGCGACAAGAACGACCCUCAUGGCUCCGAGCACACUGUCGGCGGGAAGCACUUUGCCGCCGAGCUGCAUAUUGUCUAUUACAACUCGGACCGGUACCCCAAUGACAGCGUCGCCAAGGACAAGCCAGAAGGCCUCGCGGUCGUAGCUGUUCUCAUAGAGGUGGGCUCCUCCAAUCCAGCAUAUGACAAGAUCUUCGAUCACCUUAAAGCUGUAAAGUACAAAGACCAAGAAGUGUUCAUUCCGGGUUUCAGCAUAGAAGAGCUGCUGCCAGAAAGGCCUGAAGAGUACUACCGCUACAGGGGGUCCCUGACUACACCUCCCUGCUACCCCACUGUGCUCUGGACGGUGUUCCGGAACCCUGUGCAAAUUUCCCAGGAGCAGCUGAUGAAGUUGGAGACAGACCUGUACUGCACGCACAUGGAUGACCCGUCCCCCAGAGAGAUGGUCAACAACUUUCGGCAGGUCCAGAAGUUUGACGAGAGGCUGGUGUAUGUCUCCUUCCAACAAGUGCCAGACCUUCCCUGCACAGGACUGAGUCCGGGCAUCGUCCUCUCUGUGGCCCUGGCCUGUGGUCUUGGCAUCUGUAUUGUCCUGGCGGUAUCCCUUUGGCUUUUCAGAAGGAGAAAGAGAGGAGACGCGAAUUCUGAGAUGACCUCCACUGCUUUUGUAUACAGAGGAAAUGGACAGAAGCAAAAUGGUCGAAGAUCUUUGUCUCUUUUGCCCAAAUUUCAUUUCUGCUGCCUUUGUGGUGAGCCUCCUGUCAACCUUGAAUUGGGACCUACCUACUUCUCUGACUUGAAGGAUGUCAAGUCAUGGCUGAAUUACAAUAUAUUUUCAGACUAUGAAAAUGGGAAGUUACUUGUGCAGGGGCUGGCAUCAUGGUAUUCACGGACCAGAAAUAAUGGAAUGUUAACAAAGAUCCUUCAUGGUCUUCCCUGCCAAGUGACAGACAGUUUCUGAGACAACUUAACUCCUUCAUUCUCUUCCUGUCGACCUAAGAGCCCUGUGGAUAUCAGUCUGUUCCAUGACUGAGAAGGAGACCCCCACCAACCUCUCCGGGCUGGAACCUUGCAGUUCAGAGAACCUUUAGUUCUCACUCUCCUUGUGACAGCAUGGGGUAUUCUGUUUAGUGCGUCUCAAGUGAG